GCAGCGCUCGGCCGGUGCGUUUGCGGGCCUUGCUGGACCUCUGCGCAGGGACUGAGGGCGGAGGGCGUCCGCGGGCCCCCGGAGCUGAGCGGCCCCCGCGACCCUAUGUCCGAGCCGUCCUGCUCGCACGCACGUCCUCGUCCUGGUGUGGGCCUCUCGUUAUUAGUGACAGCGCCAGGUGCAAGCAUCGGAGCGCCCAGGACCCUGCUUCAGACGUUCUGAGCUUUGAUGAAACAGGGCAUGGGCGGCCACGGCCCCAGGGAUGCUCAGAGAGAUGUUAGGAGGCUCCAAUGAGGUGACAGAACCGGCAGAUAAAUUAGAGCCCUCCGUGAGGGUGAUGCUUUGGCACCUCAUGGGGCUGGCAGUCAGGUUGAGCAGAGCUACCACCUCAUUUGUCACUCGGCGAACGCUCCUGGGCACAGCUCUGAGCCUGUGACCUCGCCAGGCCCUGGGAAUGCAGAAGACACAGGCCUCCCUUGCGGGGCUCACAUGCCACUCGGGAACAGGUGGAGCUGUCCACACGAGGGCAGGCCCAGGGUGCACGGGGAAUGGCAUAAAGGAGAUACAUAAGAUGUUGGAGCAGCAGCAGCCGGCUUGUGACAACGAGGCACAACUGGGGUCUACACAUUGAGGACGAAAGAGGCUGGGAACCUGAUGGCACAUGAGGCACCAUACCAGCCCUAGACUCUCUCUUGGCUCCCUGGCUUUCCCGUCAUCCAUGACACUGACACCUUUGAGGGGCCGACGCCGAUGGUUCCAGUGCUCCUGGGCAGGGACUUACCUAAUUCAUUUCGUGGUCGGAUGCGGGUGACUAUCUAGGAGGAGCGCCACACUGGUGAGCAGAUCAGGGGGACAUGUGAUGCCAGUGUCCCCAUGGUCUGUGAUGUUGAGGGGGGUCAUUUGGUUAAAGUCAAUCCUGUUUUUAGAUUUUUUUUUACAUGCACAUUUUAAGAUUUUUAAAGUAGUUCCAACCAUGGAAAUGUCUCUCAGUGCGUUUUACAAUGAAAUCAUAUUUAGAAAAGUGCUUCUUACCCCAGACUAUAUAAAUAUUCACGUAUUUCCUCCAAAGAUAUUUUCUCCUGGGAGUUGCCUGGUGGUCAAGUGGUCAAGGAUUCGGCAUUGUCACCGACGUGCCUGGGGUUCGAUCCGUGGCCUGGGAACUUCUGCAUGUUGUGGCGUGGCCAAAAAACACACCACCACCAACAAACACACUUUCUUCAAUCAAUUCCUGGCUUCACUAAGAACUAAUUUUGGUUUAUGUUGUGAAAUAAAGGUAAUUUUUUUUUUCUCAAAACGCUUAGUCAAAUCCCUGGUAUCAUUCAUUAGUAAGUGUUAUUAAAUACUUCAACCUUUCUGCCACUGGAAUUGUCACCAUUAUUACAUUUUAAAUAUAUACAAACGUUGUGCUUUGCUUCUGGACUCCCGAUUCUGUUGUCUUGAUCUGUCAAUUCUGCUGCGAGUGCUACACGAAAACUUGUUUAUAUUGAUAUCUGAUGGUAAGGAAGCCCUCCAAGGAGAAUUUAUUGUUUUAUGAUGUAAAAAUGUGAAUCUGUUUUUAGACAGAGCAGAAAGAAGUGAGAGAGACCCCCCAGGGAGAUAAGAGGGCUGGGAUACAGAGCAGGGGCAGAAGGACAGUGACAGACACAGGGACAGCUGGACAGACACACGUCCAUCAGUGUGGCCUGACCUUCGGUGUGGCCACCUGAGAGUCUGCCCCUUUCUCUCCCUCUACUCUGCCCACUUGUAUUCCAGCAUCUUUGCGGGCAUCUUUCUGUGCCAUGCACUGAAAUUUUUGGGGUUUUUUUUUGUUUCUGCAUGUGCAGCAUGCAGAAGUUCCCAGGCCAGGGGUCAGACCUGUGCCACAGCAAUGACAAUGCCAGAUACUUAGCCUGCUGAGCCACCAGGGAACUCCAAUCUAGUUCGUGCUUCUAAGAGGGAGGGACAUGGAUUCAUGGGUGAGGAUGUAGCACACUUUAAUUUGCCUUUUAAAUACCACUUGGUCCUUCCUGAUUUUCACUAUUACCUCAAUUUUUAAAUCCCUAUAUAUUUAUCUCCACUUCUGUGAGUAUACCUGUAACUAAAUAAAUUCC